CAAAUGAACUUAUUUAAGAAAAAAUAACAGUUUCACAGUCAUAGAAAACAAACUGAAGGUGAGCAAAGGGAAAUGGGGUUGGGGAGGGGUAAAUUAGGAGUGCGAGAUCAGAAGAUACAAACUACUAUAUAUAAAAUAAUCAACAAGGCCCUACUGUACAGAAGAGGGGACUAUAUUCAAUAUCCUGUAAUAAACCAUAAUGGAAAAUAAUAGGAAAAAGAAAUAUAUAUAUAUAAAAAACUGACUCACUUUGCUAUAUAUAUAUAUACCAGAAAUUAGCACAGCAUUGCAAACUAACUAUACUUCAAUUAAAAUUUGCUAGAUAUAAAAAUAGGAACGAUUGUCAAUGAGGGUUCCAACCCAUCAGCUCUUCACUUAGUAACAUUUUACUUCUAGCACAACUAGUUUAAUUUGUAAUUUCAAAUUCUUUCUGCUUUCUGUCCUCUGCUUACUCUGAAAACACAGAUAUUUAACCAACCCAUGAGAGAAAGAGAGGGUAUAGCAGUAAAACGUUCUCAAAAUACACACACACACACACACACACACACACACACACCCCAACUGUAAAGUCCAGGAGAGAAGGCAACUUCAAAAUAAAUACCUGUGUCUUUUGUUACAAGUCUAAUCUUCAACUGUCCGUGGUAAACUCAGGGUUAGAAUACCUAGGUUUAUACCCAGCUUUAAACAAAAUCACUCUGAUAAAACCACUAAAGAUCAAAUUUCCAUAAGAAUAAGCUCAAUUUAAAAUGUUCAUAGAGAAGAGGUCAUUAGUUCCCCUGUUACAGAAGGUCCUAAAGAGUUAAAUCACAGAAUAUGAAAACCUGUGCUUAAAAGGUUUUUAGGCAAUGACACCAGCUGAGGAGGGAAAUAAAAUUAGUAAGUGGCGGGAAUGAGGAGCUGUCAACACCAGUCCCUAACUCAGGCUCCUUGGCUUGAUCCUGUAUUUCAUUUAACACAGACUUCUACAUGCGGAUGAUUGGCCUCUUCCUGUGAGGCUGUUCUGAAAUGUGAGUCAGGAUAUAAAUGGACUGUAUCAUCUUGUGUGGGGCUGCCUCAGGCCAAAUAAUUCCCAGGAAGCAGGAAUAUUUCAGCUCCCCACCCACCACGGAUCCCCACGUCUGUGCGACAUCCAGGAAGUGCCUUGACCUACCUCCUGCAGCUCUAUGAAUGAUUGGGCUUCUCUGAGUACCAGACGAAGUCGUCCCCUUUCAUUCUUCAAAUAACACCCUUGCAGAACCGGACAGACCUCAUCUUUCUGACCCGGGUGUGUCCUGAUCAGAGACAGGAGCCAGGUACUCGCCCUCUUUGCCCCUCCACGUCUACAAACAAUUGAGAGACAACCACAGCGCUGAUUGACCUGACUGGCUUUUAGACUGAAACUUCAGUCAUGCAAACAUAGAAGAAAGCUUAGCCAAGAGGAAAUUCUGUGAGAGCAAGAGUAGAUAGUCAUGGCCAAAAUUGGGGCGCCCUCUCACCCCCUGUACGCGGCUUCUCAUUCUCUC
ensembl:lncRNA